GCGCCCGUAGCUCAGCUGGAUAGAGCGUUGGCCUCCGGAGCCAAAGGUCGAAGGUUCGAAUCCUUUCGGGCGCA
rfam:Photobacterium profundum SS9